CCCUAGCCCCGAUAGUAGUGGAAAUCCUUUUUGUUUUAGAAAAAUGCCCUUUGACUGCGCUCAGGGUGACAAAACAAAAAGAUUGCAGCGAAUAGCGGGAUUAGCU
rnacentral:sRNA from 1 species